rnacentral:misc_RNA from 1 species
UUUUUUUUUUUUUUUUUUUCUCAAGUCUCGACUGCUCGGCGUCGCCAUGAGUCCUAUUCAGAAUUUUGAGCAACAUUCUCGUCAGCUAGUGGAGCCUGACCUCCCAAUUCAGUCAAGGCUGCAGAUGGCAAUGGAGGUACGAGAUAGUCUUGAGAUUGCCCACACAGCAGAGUACUUGAAUUUCCUUAAGUGCUACUUCAGGGCAUUCUCAGUCAUUCUUUUACAAAUUACAAAGCCGCAGUUCAUAGAUAAUCCUGAGCACAAGCUUCGGAACAUUGUUGUGGAAAUCCUCAAUCGUCUUCCUCACAGUGAAGUUCUCCGCCCCUUUGUUCAGGACCUCUUGAAGGUUGCAAUGCAAGUGCUAACAACAGAUAAUGAGGAAAAUGGAUUGAUUUGUAUUCGGAUUAUCUUUGAUCUUCUUCGGAAUUUUAGGCCAUCACUAGAAAAUGAAGUUCAGCCAUUCUUAGACUUUGUAUGCAAGAUAUACCAUAAUUUUAAAUCAACUGUCAGUCAUUUCUUUGAUAAUGUAACACCACCUGUAGAGGAUAUUAAACCAAUGGAGACUUCUUCUUCAGAUCAAGUGAUUACUGGUACUGCAUUUGUUGGAAAUGGGCACCUUAACCCUAGUAACCGUUCAUUCAAGAUUGUUACAGAGAGUCCACUUGUGGUGAUGUUUUUGUUUCAAUUAUAUAGUCGACUUGUUCAAACUAAUAUUCCUCACUUGUUGCCUUUGAUGGUUGCUGCGAUAUCUGUUCCGGGCCCUGACAAGGUUCCUUCUAAUUUGAAGAGUCACUUCAUUGAACUGAAGGGUGCACAGGUUAAGACAGUUUCCUUCUUAACUUACCUGUUGAAGAGUUUUGCUGAUUAUAUUAGGCCCCAUGAAGAAAGCAUAUGUAAAAGCAUUGUGAAUCUGCUUGUUACAUGUUCUGACUCUGUAUCCAUUAGAAAGGAAUUGUUAGUCGCUUUAAAGCAUGUCCUUGGGACAGAUUUCAAGAGGGGGUUAUUUCCUUUAAUUGACACACUUCUAGAAGAGAGGGUUCUAGUUGGAACUGGUCGAGCAUGUUAUGAGACACUGAGGCCAUUGGCUUAUAGUCUACUGGCAGAGAUUGUUCAUCAUGUUCGGAGUGAUCUUUCCUUAUCACAGUUGUCACGGAUUAUAUACCUGUUCUCAAGUAACAUGCAUGAUGCCUCAUUGUCACUUAGUAUCCACACCACCUGUGCCCGGUUGAUGUUGAAUCUGGUAGAACCAAUUUUUGAGAAAGGUGUGGAUCAACCUUCUAUGGAUGAAGCUCGGAUUCUACUGGGGCGUAUUUUGGAUGCUUUUGUUGGAAAAUUUAGCACUUUUAAGCGUACCAUUCCACAGCUAUUGGAGGAAGGUGAGGAAGGAAAUGAACGUGCUACUUUGAGGUCAAAGCUUGAAUUACCUGUGCAGGCAGUUUUGAACUUGCAAGUUCCGGUGGAACAUUCCAAGGAAGUCAGUGAUUGUAAGAAUCUGAUCAAGACUUUAGUUAUGGGAAUGAAGACUAUCAUAUGGAGCAUCACUCAUGCACACUUGCCACGAUCACAGGUUUCUCCUUUUGCACAUGGAACACACUCACAAGCACUUGUCUCACCAUCAUCUAACUUACCAGCUCCUCAAGCGUUUAAAGGGAUGAGAGAAGAUGAGGUGUGGAAAGCCUCUGGUGUCCUGAAGAGCGGUGUACAUUGCUUAGCCCUCUUUAAGGAGAAGGAUGAGGAGAGAGACAUGCUGAAUCUCUUUUCCCAGAUUCUGGCUAUUAUGGAACCUAGAGAUCUUAUGGACAUGUUCUCAUUGUGUAUGCCUGAGCUUUUUGAAUGCAUGAUUAGCAACACUCAACUGGUUCACAUAUUUUCUUCUCUUUUGCAAUCUCAGAAAGUGUACCGGCCAUUUGCUGAUGUCUUAGUUAACUUUCUUGUUAGCAGCAAACUUGAUGUUCUGAAGCACCCAGAUUCACCUGCUGCUAAACUGGUUCUGCAUCUCUUUCGAUUUAUAUUUGGUGCUGUUGCUAAGGCACCUGCAGAUUUUGAACGUAUUUUGCAGCCUCAUGUGCCUGUUAUAAUGGAAGUUGGCAUGAAGAAUGCUACAGAAGUUGAAAAACCUCUUGGUUACAUGCAACUUCUUCGUACAAUGUUUAAAGCGCUUGCAGGAUGUAAAUUUGAGCUUCUUCUUCGAGACCUGAUCCCUAUGUUGCAACCCUGCUUAAAUAUGUUAUUGACAAUGCUUGAGGGUCCAACUGGGGAAGAUAUGAGGGACCUUCUGCUGGAGCUAUGCUUAACAUUGCCUGCACGCUUAAGUGCAUUGCUACCAUAUCUUCCCCGUCUUAUGAAGCCUCUUGUUUUGUGUCUAAAGGGAAGUGAUGACCUAGUGAGUUUAGGUCUAAGAACACUUGAGUUUUGGGUGGAUAGUUUGAAUCCUGAUUUCCUAGAACCUAGUAUGGCUAAUGUAAUGUCAGAGGUGAUUUUAGCUUUAUGGUCUCACUUGAGACCUGCACCCUACCCUUGGGGUGGAAAAGCAUUGCAACUCCUUGGCAAGUUAGGUGGCCGUAACAGACGUUUUCUUAAAGAGCCUCUUGCCCUUGAGUGCAAGGAGAACCCAGAGCAUGGGCUUCGGUUGAUUCUUACAUUUGAGCCAUCAACCCCAUUUUUGGUGCCUUUGGAUCGAUGCAUAAAUCUUGCUGUAGCAGCUGUCAUGCAUAAAAACAGUGGCAUGGAUGCUUUCUACCGAAAACAGGCUCUAAAGUUUCUCCGUGUUUGUUUAUCUUCUCAGCUUAAUUUGCCUGGCAGUGUUUCUGAUGAGGGAUGUACAGCCAGGCAGCUGUCAACCUUAUUAGUUUCUUCAUUUGAUUCAUCCUGGCGCAGGUCAGAGACAUCAGAUAUAAAGGCUGAUUUAGGUGUGAAGACAAAGACCCAACUUUUGGCCGAGAAGUCGGUUUUCAAGAUUCUGUUAAUGACCAUAAUUGCUGCCAGUGCAGAACCAGAACUCCACGACUCCAAAGACGAUUUUGUUGUCAAUAUCUGUCGCCAUUUUGCAAUGAUAUUUCAUAUUGAUUAUACCUCAGCUAACCCUUCUAUUCCAACAGCUGCCGUUGGUGGUCCUCUGCUUUCUUCAAAUGCUAGUGCCUCCAGGUCAAAGAAUAGCACUUCCAAUUUGAAAGAGUUGGACCCUUUGAUAUUUUUAGAUGCUUUGGUUGAUGUGUUAGCAGAUGAGAAUAGAGUCCAUGCGAAAGCCGCUCUUAAUGCUCUAAAUUUGUUUGCUGAAACGCUUCUGUUCCUUGCUCGCUCAAAACAUGCUGAUGUGGUGAUGUCAAGAGGAGGCCCAGGUACUCCAAUGAUUGUCUCUAGUCCAUCAAUGAAUCCUGUAUAUUCACCACCUCCGAGUGUUCGCAUCCCAGUUUUUGAGCAACUUCUACCUCGUCUUUUGCAUUGCUGCUAUGGAAGUACAUGGGAAGCUCAAAUGGGAGGUGUUAUGGGACUUGGUGCUUUAGUAGGAAAAGUCACUGUUGAGACUUUGUGCCUUUUCCAAGUCAGAAUAGUGCGUGGUCUGGUAUAUGUUCUCAAAAAGCUUCCUCUUUAUGCAACCAAAGAGCAGGAAGAGACUAGUCAAGUGCUAACACAGGUUCUUCGGGUGGUGAAUAAUGUUGAUGAAGCAAACAGUGAUUCACGCAGGCAAAGUUUUCAAGGGGUGGUUGAUUUUUUGGCUUCAGAAUUAUUCAAUCCCAAUGCAUCUAUUAUUGUGAGAAAGUGUGUGCAGUCUUGUUUGGCUCUUUUGGCCAGUAGGACAGGUAGUGAAGUAUCGGAGUUGCUUGAGCCUCUGUAUCAGCCUUUGCUUCAGCCUCUUAUCAUGCGGCCCCUACGAUCAAAGACUGUUGAUCAACAGGUUGGGACAGUUACAGCUUUAAAUUUUUGCUUGGCCCUGAGGCCCCCUCUUCUUAAGUUGACUCAAGAACUGGUCAACUUUCUCCAAGAAGCACUGCAAAUAGCUGAGGCAGAUGAAACUGUAUGGGUUGUGAAGUUCAUGAAUCCUAAAAUGGCCACUUCAUUAAAUAAACUUCGAACAGCUUGCAUAGAGCUACUCUGUACUACGAUGGCAUGGGCAGAUUUCAAAACUCCAAAUCAUGCUGAACUACGUGCUAAGAUCAUUUCCAUGUUCUUCAAGUCCUUGACAUGCCGCACUCCAGAAAUUGUAGCAGUUGCUAAGGAGGGCCUACGACAGGUCAUUAAUCAGCAAAGGAUGCCCAAAGAACUUCUGCAGAGCAGCCUGAGGCCAAUUCUAGUGAACUUGGCACACACGAAAAAUCUUAGCAUGCCUCUUCUGCAGGGUCUUGCCCGCCUGCUUGAACUUUUGUCCAAUUGGUUUAAUGUUACCUUGGGUGGCAAGCUAUUGGAGCACCUUAAGAAAUGGUUAGAACCUGAAAAGCUUUCCCAGAGUCAAAAGUCAUGGAAGGCUGGUGAAGAGCCUAAAAUUGCAGCCGCUAUUAUUGAGCUUUUUCACUUGCUUCCUCAUGCUGCAUCCAAGUUUCUUGAUGAACUUGUAACCUUGUGCAUUGAUUUGGAAAGAGCUCUCCCCCCUGGACAAGUAUACAGUGAAAUUAACAGUCCAUAUCGCCUUCCUCUAACUAAAUUUUUAAAUCGAUAUGCAACACUUGCCAUUGAUUAUUUUCUUGCUCGAUUAAGUGAUCCAAAAUACUUCAGACGGUUCAUGUAUAUAAUACGAUCAGAUGCUGGCCAACCAUUGAGAGAUGAACUUGCAAAGUCACCGCAGAAGGUACUUGCAAGUGCCUUUCCUGAGUUUCUGCCAAAAGCUGAUGCAACAAUGACUCCUGGAUCUUCAAGUGCACUUGGUGCUUUAAUGGGUGAUGAAGGCCUUACUACCACUUCAUCUGAUGGUUCUAAUUUACUGUCUGUUCCCCCUGCUGCAAGUUCAGAUUCUUAUUUUCAAGGGCUUGCACUCAUUAAAACAUUGGUCAAAUUGAUUCCUGGAUGGUUGCAUAGUAAUCGUACAGUGUUUGAUACUUUAGUACUUGUGUGGAAGUCACCUGCGAGAACUACUCGUUUGCACAAUGAACAAGAGCUGAACUUAGUGCAAGUUAAAGAAAGCAAAUGGCUUGUCAAAUGCUUCCUGAAUUACUUGCAACAUGACAAAACUGAAAUUAAUGUUCUCUUUGAUAUUCUCUCCAUCUUCUUGUUUCAUUCUCGCAUUGACUACACUUUUUUGAAGGAGUUCUAUAUUAUUGAGGUGUCAGAAGGUUAUCCACCCAACUUGAAGAGAGCACUUCUCUUGCAUUUUUUGAACCUUUUCCAAUCAAAACAACUUGCUCAUGAUCAUUUGGUGGUGGUUAUGCAAAUGCUCAUUCUUCCAAUGCUUGCACAUGCCUUCCAGAAUGGCCAAAGUUGGGAGGUUGUUGACCCUGGUAUUAUAAAGACAAUAGUUGACAAACUUCUUGAUCCACCAGAAGAGGUUUCUGCUGAAUAUGAUGAGCCUUUGAGGAUAGAACUUUUGCAGCUUGCCACUCUACUUCUUAAAUAUCUGCAAAAUGACCUUGUUCAUCAUAGGAAAGAACUAAUUAAAUUUGGUUGGAAUCAUCUCAAACGUGAAGACAGUGCUAGUAAGCAGUGGGCCUUUGUCAAUGUUUGCCACUUCCUGGAGGCCUAUCAGGCCCCAGAAAAAAUUAUUCUUCAGGUCUUUGUUGCACUUCUCAGAACUUGCCAGCCUGAAAAUAAACUGCUGGUCAAGCAGGCCCUUGAUAUACUAAUGCCAGCAUUACCUCGAAGGUUGCCUCUUGGGGAUUCUCGCAUGCCAAUUUGGAUACGAUACACAAAAAAAAUUCUGGUUGAAGAAGGUCAUUCUAUACCUAAUCUGAUUCACAUUUUCCAGCUCAUUGUGCGCCAUUCAGAUCUCUUCUAUAGCUGCAGAGCACAGUUUGUUCCUCAGAUGGUCAACUCUCUCAGUCGGCUUGGAUUGCCAUAUAAUACUACAGCAGAAAACAGGCGCCUUGCCAUUGAACUUGCUGGAUUGGUGGUCGGUUGGGAGAGGCAAAGGCAAAAUGAAAUGAAAAUUGUGCCUGAUAAUGAUGUGCCAAGCCAGACUAAUGAUGGAUUUAACCCUGGUGCAGCGAGUGCUGAUCCAAAGCGUGUGGUGGAUGGAUCUACAUUCCCUGAAGAUCCAAGUAAGAGAGUUAAAGUUGAACCUGGUCUUCAAUCCCUGUGCGUCAUGUCACCUGGUGUUGCAUCAUCAAUACCUAACAUAGAAACCCCAGGAUCUGGUGGUCAACCUGAUGAAGAGUUUAAACCAAAUGCUGCUAUGGAAGAAAUGAUUAUAAAUUUCCUUGUAAGGGUUGCCUUGGUCAUAGAACCCAAGGAUAAAGAAGCAAGUAUCAUGUACAAGCAAGCCUUAGAUCUUCUUUCACAAGCACUGGAGGUGUGGCCAAAUGCCAAUGUCAAAUUCAAUUAUUUGGAAAAACUUCUCAGCAGCAUUCAGCCAUCACAGUCAAAGGACCCUUCAACGGCACUUGCACAAGGCUUGGAUGUCAUGAACAAGGUUUUGGAUAAGCAGCCUCAUUUGUUCAUUAGAAAUAACAUCAGCCAGAUAUCUCAAAUUCUGGAACCCUGUUUCAAACAUAAAAUGUUAGAUGCUGGAAAGUCGCUGUGCUCUCUGUUGAAGAUGGUCUUUGUUGCUUUUCCGCCAGAUGCAGCUACCACACCAACAGAUGUGAAGCUUUUGUAUCAGAAAGUUGAUGAACUGAUACAGAAGCAUAUCAGUAUUCUUACAGCUCCCCAGACAUUGAGUGAGGACAACUCUGCCCAUUCAAUUAGCUUUGUGCUGCUUGUUAUUAAGACCUUGACAGAGGUGGAGAAGCACACUGACCCAUUUAACUUGUCUCGCAUCCUUCAACGCCUAGCACGUGAUAUGGGAUCAUCAGCAGGCUCUCAUUUGAGACAAGGUCAGAGAACAGAUCCAGAUUCAGCAGUCUCUUCUUCCCAUCAGGGUUCUGAUCUUGGUGCUGUCAUUUCUAAUCUGAAAUCUGUAUUGAAGCUUAUCAGUGAAAAAGUCAUGGUUGUCACAGAUUGCAAACGAUCUGUAACUCAAAUCUUGAAUUCUUUGCUCUCAGAGAAAGGAACUGAUGCUAGUGUGCUUCUUUGCAUCCUAGAUGUGAUAAAAGGGUGGAUUGAAGAUGACUUUAGCAAACAGGGAGCAGUCCCUUCAAGUGCUUUUCUUAAUCCUAAGGAAAUAGUCUCUUUUCUGCAAAAGCUUUCGCAAGUUGAUAAGCAGAACUUCCAACCUGAUGCUUUGGAAGAGUGGAACAGAAAAUAUCUUCAGCUCCUUUAUGGAAUUUGUGCUGAUUCGAACAAAUAUCCACUGGCCUUACGUCAAGAGGUGUUUCAGAAGGUGGAAAGACAAUUCAUGCUUGGUUUACGUGCAAAGGAUCCUGACAUUAGGAUGAAGUUCUUCUCACUUUAUCAUGAAUCUCUAGGGAAAACAUUGUUUACAAGACUGCAGUAUAUCAUCCAAGUCCAGGACUGGGAAGCUCUAAGUGAUGUUUUCUGGCUCAAACAAGGUCUUGAUCUGCUUCUGGCUAUCUUAGUUGAGGAUAAACCCAUCACGCUUGCUCCAAAUUCUGCCAGAGUGUUGCCACUCUUGGUCUCAAAUUCUCUUCCAGAUGGUUCUGGGAUGCAACAACAGGUUACUGAUGUUCCGGGGGGUCUUGAGGAAGCACCUUUAACACUUGAUAGCCUUGUCCUUAAGCACGCUCAGUUUUUGAAUGAGAUGAGCAAACUUCAGGUAGCUGAUCUUGUUAUUCCAUUGAGAGAGCUGGCGCAUACAGAUGCUAAUGUUGCAUACCAUUUGUGGGUGCUGGUAUUCCCCAUUGUCUGGGUGACCUUGCAUAAGGAAGAACAGGUAACAUUAGCUAAACCGAUGAUUACUCUUCUUUCAAAAGAUUAUCAUAAGAAGCAACAAGCCAGCAGACCAAAUGUUGUGCAAGCACUUCUAGAAGGUCUUCAGUUGAGCCACCCUCAACCUCGGAUGCCAAGUGAACUCAUUAAAUAUAUUGGAAAGACUUAUAAUGCAUGGCACAUUGCCUUGGCUUUACUGGAAAGUCAUGUCAUGUUGUUUAUGAAUGACACGAAGUGCUCCGAGUCACUGGCUGAGCUUUAUCGUUUGCUCAAUGAAGAAGAUAUGCGGUGUGGAUUGUGGAAGAAAAGGUCAAUCACAGCGGAAACCAGAGCUGGACUUUCACUAGUCCAGCAUGGUUACUGGCAGCGUGCUCAAAGCCUCUUUUACCAGGCCAUGGUAAAGGCAACUCAAGGAACAUACAACAACACAGUACCAAAGGCUGAGAUGUGUCUUUGGGAAGAACAAUGGCUUUAUUGUGCGAACCAGCUCAGUCAGUGGGAUGCCUUAAUUGACUUUGGUAAAAGUGUUGAGAAUUAUGAAAUUCUUCUUGAUACCCUUUGGAAAUUACCUGAUUGGACAUAUAUGAAGGAUCAUGUUAUUCCCAAGGCUCAGGUUGAAGAAACUCCAAAACUUCGUCUGAUUCAGGCCUUUUUUGCCCUUCAUGAUAGAAAUGCAAAUGGUGUCGGGGAUGCUGAUAACAUAGUGGGGAAAGGUGUUGAUCUUGCAUUAGAACAUUGGUGGCAGUUGCCUGAAAUGUCUGUUCAUGCUAGGAUUCCUCUUUUGCAACAAUUCCAGCAGCUGGUUGAAGUUCAAGAGUCUGCUCGAAUUCUGGUGGAUAUUGCUAAUGGGAACAAAGUUUCUGGCAGUUCUGUUGUUGGGGUGCAUGGAAAUCUGUAUGCAGAUCUCAAGGACAUUCUUGAGACUUGGAGACUAAGAACACCAAAUGAAUGGGAUAAUAUGUCUGUUUGGUAUGAUUUGCUGCAGUGGAGGAAUGAAAUGUAUAAUGCUGUCAUUGAUGCAUUCAAGGAUUUUGGCAAUACAAAUUCACAACUUCAUCACCUUGGCUAUCGUGAUAAAGCGUGGAAUGUGAAUAAGCUUGCUCAUAUUGCUCGUAAGCAAGGCCUUUAUGAUGUUUGUGUGAUAAUUCUUGAGAAGAUGUAUGGCCAUUCAACCAUGGAAGUGCAGGAAGCCUUUGUCAAGAUUAGAGAACAAGCAAAGGCUUAUCUGGAGAUGAAGGGAGAGCUUACAAGUGGUCUCAAUUUGAUAAGCAGCACUAACUUGGAAUAUUUUGCUGUGAAACAUAAAGCAGAGAUUUUUCGUCUCAAGGGGGAUUUUCUAUUAAAACUAAGCGACUCUGAAAAUGCUAAUCUUGCAUAUUCACAUGCCAUCAGUCUUUUCAAAGGUUUGCCAAAAGGAUGGAUAAGCUGGGGAAACUAUUGUGAUAUGGUAUUCAUUUUUAUGUGCUUUUCAUGUCAUCACUGUUGCUAUAUAUGUACUGAUUUGCUACCUGACUUUCCAGGCUUUCAGAGAAACCAUGAUGAGAUUUGGCUGGAACAUGCUGUUAGUUGCUUUCUUCAAGGUAUGAAAUUUGGUGUUUCCAAUUCCAGAAGCCAUCUAGCUCAGGUUCUGUAUCUUCUGAGUUUUGAUACUCCCAAUGAGCCCGUGGGGAGGGCACUUGAUAAAUACUUGAACCAAAUACCCCAUUGGGUUUGGCUUUCUUGGAUUCCACAACUAUUACUUUCCUUGCAGAGGGUAGAGGCACCCCACUGCAAACUUGUUUUGUUGAAAAUUGCCACUGUAUAUCCACAGGCUUUGUAUUACUGGCUUCGUACAUAUUUGUUUGAGCGUCAAGAUGUUGCAAAUAAAUCUGAACUAGGCAGACUGGCAAUGGCUCAGCAAAGAAUGCAGCAAAAUGUUUCUGGGUCUGGUUCUCUUGGAAUAUCUGAUGGAAAUGCAAGGGUACAGAGUCAUAGUGGUUCCACUUUAACCAGAGACAAUCUAGUUCACCAAGGCCCUCAAUCUAGUAGUGGGAUUGGGUCUCACAGUGGUGGAAACUCUCAUGGGCGGGAACCUGAAAGGUCUACAGGCACAACAGUUGAGAGCAGUGUCCAUGCGGGGAAUGACCAACCUUUGCAACAAAAUUCUUCAACUAUCAAUGAUAGCGGUCAGAAUGCAUUAAGGCGUGGUCGUCUGGGAUUUGUUGCUUCAGCUGCCAGUGCUUGUGAUGUUGCAAAGGACAUAAUUGAGGCUCUUAGAAGCAAACACGCUAAUUUGGCUAGUGAACUUGAUGUGAUGAUUGCCAUACUAGAUUUCGUUCUGCGAUUAAAAUUCUUGUAUAUGUUAUGCUUGUAUACUUUUGACAGGGAACAAAAGCUAAAAAAAAAAAAA